GACGAACGCUGGCGGCGUGCUUAACACAUGCAAGUCGUACGGUAAGGCCCUUUCGGGGGUCCACGAGUGGCGCACGGGUGAGUAACACGUGAGUAACCUGCCCACAACUUUGGGAUAACGCUAGGAAACUGGUGCUAAUACUGGAUAUGUGCUCCUGCUGCAUGGUGGGGGUUGGAAAGCUCCGGCGGUUGUGGAUGGACUCGCGGCCUAUCAGCUUGUUGGUGGGGUAGUGGCCUACCAAGGCGGCGACGGGUAGCCGGCCUGAGAGGGUGACCGGCCACAUUGGGACUGAGAUACGGCCCAGACUCCUACGGGAGGCAGCAGUGGGGAAUAUUGCACAAUGGGCGCAAGCCGGAUGCAGCAACGCCGCGUGCGGGAUGACGGCCUUCGGGUUGUAAACCGCUUUCAGCAGGGACGAAGCUUUUUGUGACGGUACCUGCAGAAGAAGCACCGGCUAACUACGUG
rnacentral:rRNA from 1 species